UCCCAGACUCCUACGGGAGGCAGCAGUGAGGAAUAUUGGUCAAUGGCCGGAAGGCUGAACCAGCCAAGCCGCGUGAGGGAGGAAGGCGCAGAGCGUCGCAGACCUCUUUUGCCGGGGGACAAAAGGCCGGACUCGUCCGGUCCUGAGGGUACCCGGAGAAAAAGCAUCGGCUAACUCCGUGCCAGCAGCCGCGGUAAUACGGAGGAUGCGAGCGUUAUCCGGAUUUAUUGGGUUUAAAGGGUGCGUAGGCGGAAUAUCAAGUCAGCGGUAAAAAUUCGGGGCUCAACCCCGUCGUGCCGUUGAAACUGAUGUUCUUGAGUGGGCGAGAAGUAUGCGGAAUGCGUGGUGUAGCGGUGAAAUGCAUAGAUAUCACGCAGAACUCCGAUUGCGAAGGCAGCAUACCGGCGCCCAACUGACGCUGAAGCACGAAAGCGUGGGUAUCGAACAGGAUUAGAUACCCGCGUACU
rnacentral:rRNA from 1 species